UGCAAGUCGAACGGUGAAGCAGAGCUUGCUCUGUGGAUCAGUGGCGAACGGGUGAGUAACACGUGAGCAACCUACCCCUGACUCUGGGAUAAGCGCUGGAAACGGCGUCUAAUACUGGAUAUGUGACUCGACCGCAUGGUCUGUGUCUGGAAAGAAUUUCGGUUGGGGAUGGGCUCGCGGCCUAUCAGCUUGUUGGUGAGGUAAUGGCUCACCAAGGCGUCGACGGGUAGCCGGCCUGAGAGGGUGACCGGCCACACUGGGACUGAGACACGGCCCAGACUCCUACGGGAGGCAGCAGUGGGGAAUAUUGCACAAUGGGCGCAAGCCUGAUGCAGCAACGCCGCGUGAGGGAUGACGGCCUUCGGGUUGUAAACCUCUUUUAGCAGGGAAGAAGCGAAAGUGACGGUACCUGCAGAAAAAGCGCCGGCUAACUACGUGCCAGCAGCCGCGGUAAUACGUAGGGCGCAAGCGUUAUCCGGAAUUAUUGGGCGUAAAGAGCUCGUAGGCGGUUUGUCGCGUCUGCUGUGAAAUCCGGAGGCUCAACCUCCGGCCUGCAGUGGGUACGGGCAGACUAGAGUGCGGUAGGGGAGAUUGGAAUUCCUGGUGUAGCGGUGGAAUGCGCAGAUAUCAGGAGGAACACCGAUGGCGAAGGCAGAUCUCUGGGCCGUAACUGACGCUGAGGAGCGAAAGGGUGGGGAGCAAACAGGCUUAGAUACCCUGGUAGUCCACCCCGUAAACGUUGGGAACUAGUUGUGGGGUCCAUUCCACGGAUUCCGUGACGCAGCUAAC
rnacentral:rRNA from 1 species